rnacentral:lncRNA from 1 species
AGAGAACUACUCCACCAUCAUCUGAUGUGGUUCUGAUGGCUGUGUGUUUCUCAGCUUUAUCCUCAGCCUGUGGGUAAUUUAAAAUAAAUACUUUUGCAAGUGAACCAAUAGAAAUAUUUCACUGUCAUUGGGCAGAAAGCUAAAAACCUAAUUACGUUGGAAGUAGGAAGAGGAAGUAAGUAUGGUUGGAAGAGGUGGAGUCUGGUGCUGCCAGAGCAGAAAGCACAAAGAAGAACGUGCUUUUAGGUGGGUGCCCUAAGAGACAUGAUAAGUGAAAAAGGGUAAGUUAAACUUAAUCCUAUUUCUUUACACCAAAAGCAAUAGAAAACCACAUUACUAUGUUAUAAGUUCUACUUAGUAUUUUAGAGGAGAGAAAAAUUAAAAUCCAGCAAGCAAAAUCUCAAGUUAUUAAAAAGAUUAAUCUGUUGUUUAUCACUAUAUCAUCUAUGCAAUUCACUUCCCUGUAUGUUCAUUAAAAUAGACCAGACCACACA